rnacentral:rRNA from 1 species
CCUACGGGUGGCUGCAGUGAGGAAUAUUGGUCAAUGGGCGCGAGCCUGAACCAGCCAAGUAGCAUGAAGGAUGACUGCCCUACGGGUUGUAAACUUCUUUUAUAAAGGAAUAAAGUGAGGCACGUGUGCCUUUUUGUAUGUACCUUAUGAAUAAGGAUCGGCUAACUCCGUGCCAGCAGCCGCGGUAAUACGGAGGAUCCGAGCGUUAUCCGGAUUUAUUGGGUUUAAAGGGAGCGUAGAUGGGUUGUUAAGUCAGUGGUGAAAGUUUGUGGCUCAACCGUAAAAUUGCAAUUGAUACUGGCAGUCUGGAGUACAGUUGAGGUAGGCGGAAUGCGUGGUGUAGCGGUGAAAUGCUUAGAGAUCACGAAGAACUCCGAUUGCGAAGGCAGCUUACUAAGCUGCCACUGACAUUGAUGCACGAAAGUGUGGGGAUCAAACAGGAUUAGACACCCGUGUAGUC